UCUUCUUUGUGAAUUUCAGUUUGUCUCUCUCUCUCUCUCUCUCUCUCUCUCCUUCUUCCUCCGUGUUUCUCUUCCGACUCUACCCCUCUGACUUUUGAGUUUUGCUCUUUCCUUUUUUAUUCAGCGUUUAAUUUCUUUUAUAAUUUAUGUUUUUGCUUUAAGUACUUUUUGAGUUUCAAUAGUGACUUUUCAAUGGCUAUAGAAAAGCAGAAAAAUUGAUAUCUUCUUCGCGUUUCCUCUGUUUUUUCAAAAUAAAAUUAUGAACAUCUUGAGCUUGGGUCGUUUUUUGUUUGAUUCAUUACAUGCAUGUUUGAAAUUGGUUUCAAAGGUCGAGGCAAUGAUGAUAUUCUGGAAUAUGAAAUUAUUUAGGCAUAGCGACAAUCAAACCCGUAUCUUGGCUUGGGAAACCUUGGGUGGUAUGUGAUUUGAGGUUUCUAUAUCACAUGCAACAUGUUCUUCUGAUUUGGGUAUGCGAUUUUGCUUUCCUAAUUUGAAUAGAUUGUCCACUCUAUUUUUCCAACAGCAGAUUCUUCGUUCUCUCUAUCUCAAGCAAUCUUCAAGGUAAGGGAAUGCUUUCAAAUUUGAAAGAAAGAUUUUCGCUUUCUUAAAAAAAUUUAACCUUGAAGAUGGAUUUUGUUUUCCUCUUUGAUGUUUUGAUCAAUAUUGUUUAACGAAGUAAUGCAAAGGAGAAAUUCUCUUUUCCCCUAGAAGGUUCUGGAGACAAGUUUACUGAAUAAGUGAGUGAACAUGUAAUUAUAUUUUUGGUAGAAUAUAUGAGGAUAAUAGUUUGAAUUAAUACAUUAAACAAGGUGAUCAGUUGAUAUUCCCCUAUUCAAUUGAUAAUAGGGUAAGUUUUCUUCAAGAAAAUUUCUACUAAAUUUACAUUUUGGUUGCUGAAAUGCUAUUCUUGCUUAGUAUCUGUUACUCACAGUUGGAGACUGUAAUUGACGGAAGACAAGCUGCUACUGAAUUGCUACUUAAAAAGAGAAAGUAUUGGCCCUUUCAGCAUUAAAAGAGUAAUGUAUGUACCCUGUAAGUGAGUGGACUUUUUAGGAGCUUAGAGAGAAUAUUUUUUUUUUCUGUUGCUAGCUUUGUUUUAAACUGCAUAUUAAUUGUAUUUUUUUUUUUUUGAAUAAAAUGACCGUAGUAUAUUCAUGAAUAAAUAUGAUACAUAUGUUUUGUUAUUCUAAAACUUGGUGCUUUUUAUUUUUUGUUUGGUUAAAUUUGUUUGUUUUGGUGAAAGAGGUGGUGCUACAUUCUUUUAGAAUGGUUACAAUAAAAAAUUAUUUCAAUGAUUAAAAUACUUUCUGACUCUAUAACUUAGUGAAAACAUAGUGGUCAUGAAAGAACGGAGAAUUCUACAUUCUAUUCUAUGCCAUUAUAAACUUACACAAAUGGGAUUGCUUCCUAGCGUGGGACCAACCCAAAGGAGAUGAGAUAACUUUGGUGUAAAAGACGAUUUGUUUUGGCAAGUCUUUUGAAAAAUAAAGUCGAGAAGUCAAUACCACCAUUGUUCGCAUUCUUAAGUUACUUGCUUAAAUUCCAAUUAUUCUUGUAAAUUUCGUUCUUUGAGGUUUUUUAUAGGUCAUGUAAUCAUAUUGGAAUUUUUAUGUGCAAGUGUGACUUAUCACCAGCUUAAAAUUGGAUUACAUAAAAAUUAAUGAAUGCUGAAAGCAUUUCCUUUUUGUUCCCUUUUCUUUCUAUAUUCCACUUCUGAAAAUCCUUUGAGGAUUGCGUGGCAGUUCAAGUCCUAGAGGUUAUGAGUAUCAUCUCAUUUAACAUACUUUAGAGGAAAUUCAUGCCAACAAUAAAUAGUACAUUCUUCGAAGCGUAGUGAUAGUUUUACUCAUUUUUGAUAUAUUCUAUUAAUAAAUCCACAAUGAUAUUCUUUGGUUCGAGUAUAUGUCUAACCUACCUCUUUUUUCACUGUGAAAGGUUCAUCCUGAAAACUAUUUUCCCGUGGCUUGUGAUUUUAUGGUACUUGAAAACCUGAAAGGAUGAGCAUAUUCUGGCAACUUAUAUAAUUUUGGACCUCAUCAAGGAAGCGACAUUAGCCCUGCUACAUUUUUUUCUAGUCUGGUAAGGUGUAAGAGUAUUACAACGAUGUAACAAUAGAAAAUGUUAGCGAAGUUGUUGAAUAUUAGCUGAAAUAUCAUGGAUUUCUAACAAGACACAAGUACCACACAUACCCCUUCUUUCGUCAUGUACCUCUUACUGCUUAUGCGUUGGUGAGUGUAUUCAUACACCCUUGUUCGACAAUAGGUUGGUUGAUAUUUAAUACAAGUGAGAGAAUUCAUACUCAUGUAAAUAUAGCUUUGCCUUCAUCUGUGGAGGUUAGAACAAGUAUGCUUUCAUCUGUAUUGGUGUCUCGCUAUCUAUGAGGAAAUUCUAUUGAAGUAAGAAUGAAUGGAUUUCCUUUAUGAUUGGUACUUAUAUCAUAUGAAUAUACUUUAUUUUGUUCUGCUACUAUUCAUUUCUAAGGUGUGAUGGUGUAUUUAUAUAUGAAGCAUUUGUAAAAUUCUUGUUGGAUUGAUAUUGUCCUAUUGAACUUUAAGGAUGAUAAGAAAAACAAUAAAGAAAACGAAAGUUUGUUGGCUUUGGCUUUUUAUUUCCCUCAUUUCAUUAGUUAAUAUCUUGAUUAUGCGGGGGGGAAAUAGCAAGCACAUUUAAGAAAUGAAAGAAGCAGAAGUCGAUAUGGUUGUAGUAUAUUGAUAAUUUGAUAUCUUGACGAUCACGGUCAUGGACCUACUUUAAGGAUAUCCAUAUGGAGAAUUUAGUAUAUCUAAUUGAUGGUCAUGUCUUUAUUAUCGAUGGUUCAUCGAACUUCGUAUUUGGAGUCCAUGUGGCUUGAUACAACUUAUGAAUUUUGAAUACGAGAAACUACGUUGGAGACCAAGAGAUUUUGAUAUGGAAGAGUUUCGGGUGCUAACUUCCUGAAAAGGAAUUUACUGAACUUGGUUGUGCGUCCAAGAUGGAAAACAGAACUGACUUUUUUUGGGAUUCCCUUGGUAGACAACAAUUUCAGUCACUUCUGUGUAUGAUUACUGGUGGUGAAGACAGACCUGAUGUUCUUGACGUGGGAUGUGAAUAUGGUCUUGUAAGGGCUCGUGGUGCAAAACUACUUGAUGGAUAGACUUAUCCAUUUCCGAAUACCCAAACUACUAACUUUACUUAUGAGGACAUUCUUUUGAGGAUACAAAGUUGCUACAGCAACAUCUGCGGAAGAUAAGAAGAGUUAAAGAUUUUAGCAUGUUGCUGUUAAAAGCUGUGGCGAACAUGAAAUCUGUUGCUACCCUGUUAUGGGAAUCAGAACAACUGGUUCUUUUAAUGGCCAAAAGUUCCUCUCACAGUAUAGCAUAUAUUGAUGUAGGCAAAGAACUGGAAGGUAGAAAAAAUGAGAAGGUUUAGUAUUCUGCAUGGGUGAAAGCAAGUAGAUAAUCUUCAUCAAUCACUUGUUUAUCUUAAAUGUUGAUUGUAUUGAUUUUUAGCAAAUCCAUUCCUCAAAUUGCUUCAAGGCAACUAGACUGUAAGAUUCCAUCCUGUUGAUGUUCUGUUUCAGUUGUUUUUGAGUAAAAAGGGUAAUGCUAUGUUGCAAAUUUAGAAUAUGAAAGUUUGUUUUCUUGCAAGCUGCAAGCAAUGUCGACCAUCAUUCACCGUAUACAUGGGUACAAAUUGCAAAACAGGGAAAGUAUAAUACUGCCGGAACUUGGUUCA